AUAUUUGCAGCUUGUUAUUCAAAAGCAAUCAAGAUGGUGAAGUUCACAGCAGACAUGCUCAGGGGGAUUAUGGACAAGCAGAAUAAUAUAAGGAACAUGUCUGUUAUUGCUCAUGUGGACCAUGUUGCUGGUGACGUUCGCAAGACUGGUACUCCUGCAUAUGAAGCGGAGCGUGCUAUUACAAUAAAAUCCACUGGUAUCACUCUUUUCUAUGAGACGACUGAUGAAUCACUCGGGGCAAGAGAGAUGGGAAAGAGUACUUGAUGAAUCACUCGGGACAUGUUGAUUUCCCUUCGAAAGUCUACUUUGGUCGUGGUUGGCUGAUGAAUUCUAAUAUGAUAGAUGUUGCUUAUGCAUUGUCUGGUCUUUAUUUAUCAAUGACUCAUUAUUGUAGCCACCUUGAGUGAAUCCAAUAAUUAUAAUCUACAAUUUUUAAAACUCUGUGAUUAAA